CUAUUUUUAUCUCGAUGAAAACUGAGUAUUGUUGUUUUUUCUAAUGUCAGACUUUUUUUUUUUAAUGUAGCCUUUGGAUCCAUGGUUAAGCAGGGGUGGGUGAAGUACUUUGGCAUACUGAGCCUUUACAUCAGUAUAAUGGAAAAUUCUACAGUCUAACUUUUUACCACAGGCUUGCAAAGACCGCUUUGUACGUUCAGAGUCAAAUAGAAAGGAGCAGUAAGAGUUUCAAAUCCAAGACAACGAGGCGAAGCACGGCAUUUCCUCAUCAACGGAUGAGUCCACAUUGCUCUUAUUCAUCACCUUAUUAGGGAGUGAUUCAGGGGAAGAAAUCGGGCUCUCGGCCCCGCCUCGGCACGCCGAAGCCCGAUCCCACGGGUCGAGAUCUUCCCUGGCACCUACCUCCAUGUUUGACAUGUCUGGGCAAGGAUGAUGCGAGGAGGUCGACAAGACCUUGCAUUGGUGGCACGGUUAAACAACUGAGUGCUGGCCUCACAGAUCUGAGGACCGGGGUUCAAAUCCUGGCCACCCGAGUGGAGUUUGCAUGUUCUUGGACUGAGUCAACAGCGCCUCUGCUGGUUGCAGUUGAGCAUUGUGCUACAUUUUGUUUCAAUUGCUUGAAGACACGAAAAAUGAACACUUAUUUCACUCAAUGGACACCAUCACAAAAGGAGCAAUUUUUCAAUUAGAUGGUUGCUAUGCCCAUCCCUAGUCCUUUGGCAUUUUGAAUAAUUGGAAAUAUGCUUACUAACUCUAGAAUUCAGUUUCCUGAUUCUAUAAAGGACAGGUUUCAAGAUAAUGAUGGAUAUUCAACAGUUCACUUGUUCUAUUGCAUAAGCUAUGUUUUAUUAGUGGUGGGCUAUCAGGGUCUCUGCUGGCCUAAACAAUAUUAUACAAUAUUAUAAGCAUUAGCCUACAGUGGGUAUAAAUAGUCUGAAAAAAACUUUUCAAAUGCCAGUUUUAUCAUUUUCAGAGGGAAGUAAAAAUAAAUAAAUUAGAUUACGUGGUUGCACAAUUGUGAACACUCUCUUAUUCAAGAGAGCUCGUGCACCUACGUCAAAAAGUCACGUGAUUUUUGUUUACGUAGCCAUAUUGCCAGUCAAACAAAGCAUUGUUGUAAGUUAAUUCCGUUGGGACAAAACAAAAAUAUGACUUAUAGCACGACAUCCAGAGGUUUUUCUGAUACUGUUAAACAUUUAGAUGGUGAUAAAUGAAGGUAUGUGGAAAAAUUAGAGACACUUGGCAUAGAGGAUCCAUAUUUAAUGCCGAAGUCGAUGUUUUCGCCGAUAAGAAAUUUGACUGUUAAUUGGCUUCCACUUGUCUUGGACAAUUGGAUCUACACAUGUAUCUGGUGAAUAAGUCGUCGAGAUUUAAAAUGGUUUUACACAAACUAGCAUUCAUUAACUUAAGUGACUAUAAAAAAUUUUUUAGCCUGCGUACACGGAAGAGUAUUGCUGCCACACGUUAACCUCCAUAACCCUCUCUGUGACAGAUGGUUUAUUUUUUUUAAAUAUGCAUUGUUCUCAAAUGAGUCAAAUUGGCAUUAUAAAUACUUCUUGAUAAUUAGAGACUGAGAAGAAUAAUUCCUACCUGAAAUGAAAUGAUCGCUACACAGGCGUGUGUAUUUCGUUGGGCACUAUCCAUCCCAUUUAAUUGCCAAAAUUCAUCGAUCUUUUGUCACCUUUUCAGCUGGUAUUCCAGAGAAUGAUCUAUUUGAAGAACUGUUUCGUCUAUUGUGACAACCAACAGCCCAACAGGUCUCGGGCAUUGUGAAUAUUCUGCUCCGGUUCAAUGUCUCCCACAAUGUCGAGCAGCUCUGUUUGACUGCCAAUAUGGUGCUCUGAAAAUGGUGACGUCACGUGCACGAGCUCUAUCGCUGGGAAAUGGUUAUGUUGGGAAUUAACCAAUCACAUUCAAAUUCAUGUUAAAUGGGAGUCAGCACACUUUGUAACCAUUUGAAGUGUUACUGAUAACGCAAAUACAUUUCUAAUGUUCUAAGUUGGCUCUUGGUAACAUUUUUAUCAUUUACUUUUGAGCAGGAGUCUGACGGCAUUGUGCAAGCAGUUUCAACAUAAAGAAAACAGCCCAAAAACUCUUUUUGGCGACAAACAGUGUUGUUUGUUGCAAAGAUAACUUUUGAUCGUAUGACCAAGAGGUUCUACCUUUAUUUCAUUGGACCAUAACAACAGUUCCCAAACACUGGAAAAUGUGUUGUUGUUUCUACCCCGGAAAAAAUGAUGACUGCUCAACGACUCAUAAAUAUCAUCUCCCUCCAUGUAAGCAGAUGGGACAGUUGACUAUGAAAUGAAAUUAAAAUGCAUAAUUUCUGUAAAAAAAGUCUUGAGAGUUUGAUGUAAUUAGUGUGACGCCUUAGAAUGGGAGACACGGUUGGCAGUUGCUCUCCAUUAAACAAGCAUUACCAGAUGUCCUCAGAUGCCUUCGGUUUGGAAAUUGUCCAAAAAUGAAAAAUAAACUGGAGUUGCCACUCUAUUUGUAUUAGCAUUCUUUUUGGAUUAUGAAAAUGUUUUGACAGUAAAAUAUUUGACUGGC